GGGGGCAGAAACGCUCCUCACCUAGUUGCGUGAAGGGUUAUUUAUGGGGAUGGCCGGGGCCUCUGUGCCUGGCCCUGGGCCCCCUGUGCUCGGCGCUGUACACGCCGCAGCAAGCGCUGACAGGCUGUAAGGCAAACCCAAGGGCCGCAGCUACGGCCCUGUAGCGUGGACACUCACCGCAGCGACAGAAAGGGAAGGGGUUGCUGGAGUAAACUCAUCCCCACCAGAGGCGGAAGCUAGGGCCCCGGACGCGUUCUUCCAUCCACCUUGCUGCGUCUACAGGCCUCAUAGCAAAGACGACGUCUAAGGAGGACAAUGAAGUUUGUUGGGAAGAGAGAACGAAAGGCUUUGGCAGCGCUAUGGAGUUGCAGAUACCAGAGAGUGGAGGCACCUGGAUUCAGGAUAAGGUGGACAUACCAUUUUUGCGGCAAUGUUUAACCAA